GAUGAACGCUGGCGGCGUGCCUAAUACAUGCAAGUCGAACGAAACUUCUUUAUCACCGAGUGCUUGCGCUCACCGAUAAAGAGUUGAGUGGCGAACGGGUGAGUAACACGUGGGCAACCUGCCCAAAAGAGGGGGAUAACACUUGGAAACAGGUGCUAAUACCGCAUAACCAUAGUUACCACAUGGUAACUAUGUAAAAGGUGGCUAUACUACCGCUUUUGGAUGGGCCCGCGGCGCAUUAGCUAGUUGGUAGGGUAAAGGCUUACCAAGGCAAUGAUGCGUAGCCGAAUUGAGAGGUUGAUCGGCCACAUUGGGACUGAGACACGGCCCAGACUCCUACGGGAGGCAGCAGUAGGGAAUCUUCCACAAUGGGCGAAAGCCUGAUGGAGCAACGCCGCGUGGGUGAAGAAGGUCUUCGGAUCGUAAAACCCUGUUGUUAGAGAAGAAAGUGCGUGAGAGUAACUGUUCACGUUUCGACGGUAUCUAACCAGAAAGCCACGGCUAACUACGUG
rnacentral:rRNA from 1 species